rnacentral:misc_RNA from 1 species
GAUGAAGAACGUAGCGAAAUGCGAUACGUAGUGUGAAUUGCAGAAUUCCGUGAACCAUCGAAUCUUUGAACGCAAAUUGCGCCCAAGACUUCGGUCGAGGGCAUGUCUGCCUCAGCGUCGGCGCACCUCUCUCCUCCCUUGGUCUUUUUUAGUUAAACUUCCUUGGUGAGGUGGACCUGGCUUUCUCGGCGCUCUCUCAUUCAUUUGAGUUUGUUUCCGCGUUUGCUGAAGUGUAGAGGCUCGAUCAGCGACCUUUCACCGAGAAAGGCGACGGCUUGGUAGGUGGGUUUUUCCUGCAUUCCUGCCGUUGUCCGGUGGUCCUGUUGGCGGCCAUUGACGGCUGGUUGCGUGUGCUUUUCGGAGCUGCGCCCCCAGUCUGUUCCUUUUAUUUCGACCUGAGCUCAGGCAAGACUACCAGCUGAACUUAAGCAUAUCAAUAAGCGGAGGA